rnacentral:ncRNA from 1 species
AAGCGAUAAUGGCAAACUUGCCGAAAGGCAAGGACGCAAAGCCGAGGGUCUACGGCUCGUAUGAGUUAUGAUAGCCUGGUUACCGAA